GGACCCGGCUGCGGAGAUUUCUGCGGCCUCGGCUCAGGGCCCACUCACUGUGCUAUGCUUACUUCGAGCACUGGGGCCAGGGCACCCUGGUCACCGUCUCCUCAGGGACCCUGGUCACCGUCUCCCAAGGGAGCCCGGGGCAAUGUGACUACUUCGAUGUAUGGGGCCAGGGCACCCUGGUCACCGUCUCCUCAGGAUGGCGAUUGCACCGUUGUGAUUACUACGGUAUGGACUACUGGGGCCAGGGGACCCUGGUCACCGUCUCCUCAGCCUCCACCACGGCCCCGUCGGUCUUCCCGCUGUCCGCCAAAUGUGGCACCACUUCCAGCUCCACGGUGUCCCUGGGCUGCCUGGUCUCUGGCUACUUCCCGGAGCCCGUGACUGUGACCUGGAACUCGGGCUCCCUGACCAGCGGGGUGCACACCUUCCCAUCCGUCCUCCGCUCGGGCCUCUACUCUAUGAGCAGCAUGGUGACAGUGCCCGCCAGCUCGUCCAGCCAGACCUUCAUCUGCAACGUAGCCCACCCGGCCAGCAGCACCAAGGUGGACAAGCCCGUGCCCUUAUUUUCCGGACCUCCCCCCACCUCUUGCCCGCCUCACACGUGCCCACCUUGUGAGAACCCGGGAGGGCCCUCGGUCUUCAUCUUCCCCCCGAAACCCAAGGACACCCUCAUGAUCUCCCGGACACCCGAGGUCACGUGCAUGGUGGUGGACGUGGCCCCGGAUGACCUGGAAGUCGAGUUCACCUGGUACGUGGACGACCAACGGAUGAACACGGAGAAGGUGAAGGCGCAGCAGCAGCUGUUCAACAGCACCUACCGCGUGGUCAACUCCUUCGCCAUCGCGCACCAGGACUGGCUAAAGGGCAAGGUGUUCAAGUGCAAGGUCAACAACAAGGCCAUCCCGUCCCCCAUCGAGAGGACCAUCUCCAAGGCCAUAGGGCAAGUCCGGGAGCCGCAGGUGUACGUCCUGGGCCCACACUCGGACGAGUUGGCCAGGGACAAGGUCAGCGUGACCUGCCUGGUCAAAGACUUCUUCCCGCCGGACAUCAGCGUGGAGUGGCAGAGCAACGGGCGGCCAGAGCCUGAGACCAAGUACUCCUCGACCCCGCCCCAGAAGGACCAGGAGGGCUCCUUCUUCCUGUACAGCAAGCUCACCGUGGACAAGGCCCGCUGGCAGCGGGGGGACCCCUUCACGUGCGAGGUGAUGCACGAGGGCCUGCACAACCACUACGCCCAGAAGACCGUCUCCCGGAACCCGGGUAAAUGAGCAGCGCGCCCGGCGCCCGGCAACCCCCCGUGUACAUACCCUCGGGCACCCAGCAUUCAAUAAAGCACCCAGCGCGACCCUGGGACCCUGCGA